rnacentral:rRNA from 1 species
AUUCCAGCUCUGUAAGCGUAUAUCAAAGUUGUUGCAGUUAAAACGCUCGUAGUCGAACUUUGGCGCCCGGUGCGGGACAUCCUCGCGGAUGCUUUUGCGCUGGGCGCCUUUGUGGAGGGGGGCUUGGUGGUGCUUUAUUGCCUCGCCAAGUUCCUGCCACCGUUUACUGUGAAAAAAUUAAGGUGUUCAAAGCGGGCGUUUGCCAUGAAUACAUUAGCAUGGAAUAAUAGAAUAGGACCUGGUCCUGUUUUGUUGGUUUGUAAGUAUCAGGUAAUGAUUAAGAGGGACGGUCGGGGGCAUUUGUAUUCCGGCGCUAGAGGUGAAAUUCUUGGAUUGCCGGAAGACAAACAGCUGCGAAAGCGUCUGCCAAGGACGUUUUCAUCG